rnacentral:lncRNA from 1 species
UUCAACAAUACUUCCAUAUUCUUAUCAGUUCAUCUUCCACUUACUCUCUUUGUGAUUUACAUAUAUUCAAUUACUGAUCUUCAGCUUACUUAUUAUAUUCAAUUUUUCAAUUCAUCACACAAAAUUCAAUAUCUUCACUUAACACAACACAAUUUGAUAAUCUCAAUUCUCAAGGUCACAAAUUUUCUCCAAAACGGUCAGUCCAAAGUCAUAUUCCACAAUAUUCUAAUCAUAGUUUCAACAAUACUUCUCUCAAUCACAAUUCUUCACAAGAAAAUAAUAAAAGCAAAGAAAAUAAAGAGGUAGCACCAAGCUUAUCCCGGC